rnacentral:rRNA from 2 species
GCUGGCGGCGUGCCUAAUACAUGCAAGUCGAGCGAACAGAUAAGGAGCUUGCUCCUUUGACGUUAGCGGCGGACGGGUGAGUAACACGUGGGUAACCUACCUAUAAGACUGGGAUAACUUCGGGAAACCGGAGCUAAUACCGGAUAACAUUUGGAACCGCAUGGUUCUAAAGUGAAAGAUGGUUUUGCUAUCACUUAUAGAUGGACCCGCGCCGUAUUAGCUAGUUGGUAAGGUAACGGCUUACCAAGGCGACGAUACGUAGCCGACCUGAGAGGGUGAUCGGCCACACUGGAACUGAGACACGGUCCAGACUCCUACGGGAGGCAGCAGUAGGGAAUCUUCCGCAAUGGGCGAAAGCCUGACGGAGCAACGCCGCGUGAGUGAUGAAGGGUUUCGGCUCGUAAAACUCUGUUAUUAGGGAAGAACAAAUGUGUAAGUAACUG